AAACCCGGAAGUGCGAGUGACGAUAAAGGCGGAAGUAUUGCAUGUGUAAACACAGGCACGGUACGGCGAUGAUGAUAAUAAUCUCUAUAAGUUAGUUCCAUGUAAACAGUGUUCCUGUUACAGUACAUCAUUUUUAUUAUUUUAUAUCAGACUGAGAGAGUGUCACAAUGCUGAAAGCUGUAAUUCUCAUCGGAGGACCACAGAAAGGUACACGGUUCCGGCCACUCUCUUUCGAGGUUCCCAAACCACUGUUUCCCGUGGCAGGAGUUCCCAUGCUUCAGCAUCACAUUGAGGCCUGCACUAAGGUGCCGAACAUGAAGGAGAUCCUACUGAUAGGAUUUUAUCAGCCGAACGAAGAGCUGAACCGCUUCUUAUCCUCUGCACAGCAGGAGUUCAAAAUCCCAGUGAGGUAUCUGCAGGAGUAUGCAGCUCUGGGAACAGGAGGAGGGAUCUAUCACUUCAGAGAUCAGAUCCUGUCCGGUUCUCCUCAGGAGUUCUUCGUCCUGAACGCAGACGUGUGCUCAGAAUUUCCUCUGGAGGAUAUGCUGCGUUUCCAGAAGGAACACGGAGACUCUAACAGCUUCAUCAUCCUUGCCACCACGGCCAACAGGAAGCAGUCACUGAACUACGGCUGCAUCGUGGAGAACGAACAAACCAGUGAGGUGCUGCACUAUGUGGAGAAGCCGAGUACAUUCGUCAGUGACAUCAUUAACUGUGGGAUUUAUCUGUUCACUCCGGAGAUCUUUCAGCACAUCGGAGCUGUGUUCCGGAAAAACCAGCAGGAUGUGAUGCUGUAUCCAUACGAGGGAGAUGAGCAGUGUAACGGCUGGCAAAGAGCCGAGGUGAUCCGUCUGGAGCAGGAUAUUUUCACGGCUCUGGCGGCUCAGGAGAAACUGUACGUCUACAAAACAGACCGGUUCUGGAGUCAGAUUAAAUCUGCAGGGUCAGCUAUCUACGCCAGUCGGCUGUAUCUGACCCAGUACCAUAAGACCCAUCCUGAGAGACUGGCCACCAAUAAGGACAGAGGACCCAAAGUAAUUGGAAAUGUUUACGUCCAUCCUACCGCUAACAUCGACCCCACUGCUGUGUUGGGUCCAAACGUGUCAAUAGGAACCGGAGUGACGAUCGGCGCCGGGGUUCGAGUCAGAGAGUCCAUCAUCCUCCACGGAGCCACUUUACAAGAUCACAGCUGUGUGUUAAACAGUAUAAUCGGGUGGGACAGCACCGUCGGGAAGUGGGCGAGAGUGGAGGGAACGCCGAGUGACCCGAACCCCAACGACCCGUAUGCCAAAAUCGACAGCGAGACUCUGUUCAGAGACGGAAAACUGACACCGUCCAUCACCAUACUGGGCUGUAACGUGACGAUCCCGUCUGAAGUGAUCAUCCUCAACUCCAUCGUCCUGCCGCACAAAGACCUCAACCGCAGCUUUAAAAACCAGAUCAUCCUGUAACGGAUAUUCGAUGUGUCUCGCAACGCGUUCGCCAAAAUAUUCUCUUCAGUCCUGUUUAGUUUGAGGCUGUGUGUUUGGAAAUAAACCAGUCUGCUGACUUCUUUUACAUAGUGCUCUAUUUUAGACAGAAUUCCCAAACUCCCUAUUAAUGAUCCUUUCUCGUCCGGUUACAGUAAUGACAAAUUUCCUCUAAGAGCCUUUUGUGUUUAUUCUAAUUAGCUUAUUUAUUGUGAUUUGGUCCAAUAAAUAAUUCCAUUGGCUAAAGAUCACUUAGUAAAGUUUAACUACACUCCGGUCACAGAUCGUCUAACACACUGGAUCUGGAUCGCUGUGUGUUUAAUUAAUUUGUCAGUAAUUAAUUGGGUAUCAGUUCACUGUAGAGCACCAGCAGGACUUUCAGGGCCUGUGGACGUUUUAGCCAAUUACAGCGAGCAGCGAGAAUUACGCUAACUCGUACAUAAACUAAACGGCUUUUGUUAAUUAGCUAUGAAAUAAAGUAUCAAACAAAACAGGGCAGUUUUUCACCGCAGUGAUGAUUUUACCUCCAUUAUAAACAGCAGACAUGUGAAGGUUUAUAUUACAUUACUGAAUGUGAGACAGGUGUGUGUGUGUGUGUGUGUGUGUGUGUGUUGUGUUUAAUAAAGUAAGAGUUAAAUAUUAA